ACAGCAGCAGCCGCGGUAAUACGAAGGGUGCAAGCGUUACUCGGAAUUACUGGGCGUAAAGCGUGCGUAGGUGGUGGUUUAAGUCCGUUGUGAAAGCCCUGGGCUCAACCUGGGAAUGGCAGUGGAUACUGGCUCGCUAGAGUGUGUCAGAGGAUGGUGGAAUUCCCGGCGUAGCGGUGAAAUGCGUAGAGAUCGGGAGGAACAUCAGUGGCGAAGGCGGCCAUCUGGGACAACACUGACGCUGAGGCACGAAAGCGUGGGGAGCAAACAGGAUUAGAUACCCGCGUAGUCCCUGUCUCUUAUAC
rnacentral:rRNA from 1 species